ACCUUGGUAGCUCAGUCGAUAGAGCAGGAGACUCCAAAUCUCAGGGUUGUGGGUUCGAGCCCCACGCUGGGCA